AGGGAGAAUAUUAACAUUCUAUUAUCUUUAAAUUGUGAAUAAUAUAAUUAAGAAAAAUAUGAAACAUAAUUUUAUGUUUUAUAAUGGCGUGAUUAUUUUUUUCGUAUAAAUUUGAUAGAGAUAGGGGGAUUGGGGUGGGAGUAGAAAUGUGGUGGAGGGGUAAAAUUUUUAUAUUUUUAGUUCGAAUUUGUUCUCUCAAGUGGAUAAAGAGAUGAAUCAUCUGAUCUUAAAAUAGCUGGAGUAGGGGUGGUAGGUGAGUGGGG
rnacentral:lncRNA from 1 species